CAACUGUAUGCAGGACGGUCAGAAAAGUGUGUCUGGCACUGAAACGACUUUUACCAUCUUUGUCGUUUUCCCUGGACACAAACCUGUCAGAGCCAUCAAGGAGGAGUUCCACAGGAUUGCAGGUGAAUGAUGUAGAGAUCUGUUAAAUUAAUUUUAAAUCAUAUCCAGUUAAUGACAUUGUGUUGCAACCUCAGACUGGGAUUAGUAAAUUUAAUUUCUUUUAGGAUUUCCCAGUGUGAUUGGCUGCAUUGAUGGCACACACAUUCCCAUCACAGCUCCCUCACAUAAUGAAGCUGAUUAUGUGAACAGGAAGUCCAUUCACAGCAUAAAUGUGCAGAUCAUAUGUGAUGCUGCACACAUCAUUUCCAAUGUGGAGGCCAAGUGGUCUGGGUCUGUUCAUGACUGGAGGAUUUAUCAUGAGUCUAACCUGAGCAACAGACUGCAGCGUGGAGAGUUUGAUGGCCUUCUGCUGGGUGACAGGGGUUACCAUGCCAACCCAGUCUGAUGACCUCAUACCCUGACCCUGAACCAGGCCCCCAACAGAACUUCAACCAGGUUCACUGCAAGACGAGAGCCCGGGUGGAG